AACACUUCUGGUGGAUGGAUCUGGGGCGACCUUUACCCAGCAACUGAUUACUUAAUCUUCUGAAAUAUCUAACCCCAAAAAUGGGAGCAUUCUCAGCAAAAACAGGCUUUUCCUCUUUCAACGCUAUUGCAAGUGGAGCCACUUGCCACAAACCACAGGUCUGAGAUGGUGGAUGGACAUCUUGGGUUUCUUCCGGAUUGGCCCUUGGAACCACUGCCAUAGACCGUGACAAGUUAUGGCUCAGGAUUCCCUCACUGACCCAAAGAAGUUCUUUCUCUUUUGCACGUGGUUCUUACCAUUGUCUGUGUGCCAGGAUUCCUGCCGCUAAGCCAGUGUUCCCAACCAGUUUAUCCCAGGCUCCCUAGGAUGAAUUGAUAGUUAAUUUUAUGCUACUGCCCAAAAAUUAUUUUGUGGAGUUUGAAUUUAUAGUUUGUAUUUUGAAAUCGGUAGGUAUUUUGAAUGUGCUUUUCCAAACUCCAUGUGUCUACCCCAUCCUAUCUUAAUCACUGCUCUGAACUUGUGUUCUUAACCUUGACAACUCACGGAGGGCAUAGGAAAUGCUCAACAAUUCUGGGAAGGGUCUGAGGGCCGAUGUGAGAAGUGCCACAUGAAAUGUUAAGCAAAAUGGGUCUUU